GUCUUGUUCAAUAAAUAAUUUUGAUAGCCACCUUGGGACUUCUGGUUCAUGUUAGGCAUUCAUUUAGAAGUGUCUAAGUGCAAUCUCAGUGCCUCAUGACCGGCAUUCCGUUGCAAAAUUUUGUUUUUAUUGACAACAGGGUCAGUCUGUCUACUUCCGGGAAAGAAUAAAGGCUAGAAUUUAGGCAAUUUACUCUAUGUACUGACGCCAGAUUACAUUUAAAUCAAUCAAAAUUUUUACAGAAAUUCAAACUAGAAAGCCUACCCUUUCAAAUAAAACUACAUUCAGUUACAGAACUAGUGAAAUAAUAACACUACACAAUUUAUAACAAAAGUUAUAUAUUUUUUUUAAGAACUACAUUCGUGGGUACCGGACUGGUUGCCCUAACUGGGAUCCUAUUCCA
rnacentral:lncRNA from 1 species